rnacentral:rRNA from 1 species
AACGAACGCUGGCGGCAUGCCUAACACAUGCAAGUCGAACGAUGCUUUCGGGCAUAGUGGCGCACGGGUGCGUAACGCGUGGGAAUCUGCCCUGGGGUUCGGGAUAACAGCGGGAAACUGCUGCUAAUACCGGAUGAUAUCGCGAGAUCAAAGAUUUAUCGCCCUGGGAUGAGCCCGCGUCGGAUUAGGUAGUUGGUGGGGUAAGAGCCUACCAAGCCGACGAUCCGUAGCUGGUCUGAGAGGAUGAUCAGCCACACUGGGACUGAGACACGGCCCAGACUCCUACGGGAGGCAGCAGUGGGGAAUAUUGGACGAUGGGCGCAAGCCUGAUCCAGCAAUGCCGCGUGAGUGAUGAAGGCCUUAGGGUUGUAAAGCUCUUUUACCCGGGAUGAUAAUGACAGUACCGGGAGAAUAAGCCCCGGCUAACUCCGUG